UCCUUGAUGGCUCAGAUGGUAAAGAAUCUGCCUGCAGUGCGGAAGAUCCAGGUUCGAUCCCUGGGUCAGGAA
rnacentral:tRNA from 1 species